rnacentral:rRNA from 1 species
CUUGGCGACCAUAGCGUUUUGGACCCACCUGACUCCAUCCCGAACUCAGAAGUGAAACGAAACAGCGUCGAUGGUAGUGUGGGGUCUCCCCAUG